rnacentral:misc_RNA from 1 species
UCCGGUUUAUCACCGGCAGUCCCUGCAGAGUCCUCGGCUUUACGUGCUGGCAACAUGGAACGAGGGUUGCGCUCGUUGCGAGACUUAACCCAACAUCUCACGACACGAGCUGACGACAACCAUGCACCACCUGUGAACCGGCCCCAAAGGGGAAGGGCUGUUUCCAGCCCGGUCCGGCCCAUGUCAAGCCUUGGUAGGGUUCUUCGCGUUGCAUCGAAUUAAACCACAUGCUCCACCGCUUGUGCGGGCCCCCGUCAAUUCCUUUGAGUUUCAGCCUUGCGGCCGUACUCCCCAGGCGGGGCACUUAUCGCGUUAGCUGCGGCACCGAAGGGGUCGCUCCCCCCGGCACCUAGUGCCCAUCGUUUACGGCGUGGACUAC